GGCCCAGUGGCUCAGUUGGUUAGAGCGCCGCCCUGUCACGGCGGAGGCCGUCGGUUCAAGUCCGUCCUGGGUCG
rfam:Clostridium sp. SY8519 DNA, complete genome.